rnacentral:tRNA from 1 species
GUCAGGAUAGCCGAGCGGUCUAAGGCACCAGACNCAAGCGCUGGUCUCCGGAUAGAGAUGUGGGUUUGAAUCCCACUUCUGACA